rnacentral:rRNA from 1 species
ACCCGCUGGACUUAAGCAUAUCACUAAGCGGAGGAAAAGAAAUUAACAAAGAUUACCUUAGUAAUGGCGAAUGAACCGGUAAAAGCUCGAAAUUGAAAUCAAGAGUUCAACGAACUUUUGAAUUGUAAUCUGACUUGCUUAAAUACUUUUGUUUACUCAAGUACUGAGAAAGGUACUCCAUAGAGGGUGAUAGACCCGUAGGGUAAGCGAAAGCCAAAGUAAGCCAAAAAAGAGUCGAGUUGCUUGGAACUGCAGCUCUAAGGGGAGAUAUGAAACUUCCAAAGCUAAAUAUUGAUGGGAGACCGAUAGCGCACAAGUACUGUGAAGGAAAGAUGAAAAGGACUUUGAAAAGAGAGUGAAAAGAUCUGAAAUCAUUGAGAAGGAAGCGGAACAAACUAACCGGUCAAGAGAAGGCGCACGGGAGCAAUCCCGGAAAGCCUACCUGACGACUGGCAAAAUGAAGCUGGCUGAGGUAAGAAAAGAUCAUUCUGUUCAAACCACAGCCAACUUGAGGGACUACGGUGAUUUUGCCAAAGUGGUUUGUUCUGUCCCGUCUUGAAACACGGACCAAGGAGUCUAUCUAAUAUGCGAGUGUGCGGGCGAAAAACCCAUACGCGGAAUGAAAGUAAAAGGUGCCAAGCGCAAGCUACAGCAUCGGCCGGCCCAGGAAAAAGGGUCUGAGCAAGAGCAUAUUUGAUAGGACCCGAAAGAUGGUGAACUAUGCCUGAAUAGGGUGAAGUCAGGGGAAACCCUGAUGGAGGCUCGUAGCGGUUCUGACGUGCAAAUCGAUCGUAAAAUUUGGGUAUAGGGGCGAAAGACUAAUCGAACCAUCUAGUAGCUGGUUCCCUCCGAAGUUUCUCUCAGGAUAGCAGGAACAUAACGUAGUUUUAUCAGGUAAAGCGAAUGAUUAGAGGCAUCGGGGCGCUUUUAGCCUUGACCUAUUCUCAAACUUUAAAUUGGUAAGAACUCUUGGUUAAUCUUAAUUGAACCUGGAGACUGAAUACAAGUUCCUAGUGGGCCGUUUUUGGUAAGCAGAACUGGCGAUGAGGGAUGAACCUAACGUCGAGCUAAGGUGCCAAAGUAUACGCUCAUCAGAUACCACAAAAGGUGUUGAUUCAUCUAAACAGCAGGACGGUGGACAUAAAAGUCGUCACCCGCUAAGGAAUGUGUUUAACUCACCUGCCGAAUGAAUUAGCCCUGAAAAUUGAUGGCGCUAAAGCGUAUGACCGAUACUCGACCAUUGGAACAAAAGUAUGUGCCAAUGUGUAGGAGGGCGUGAAUGUUGUUAGAAGCAUUUGGCGUGAGCCUGUGUGGAACGGCAUUUAGUGCAGAUCUUGGUGGUAGUAGCAAAUAGCCAAUUGGAAACGUUGGCGGCCGAAGUGGAGAAGGGUUCCCUGUGAACAGCAUUUGAACAGGGGUUACUCGGUCCUAAGUUCCUGGUUAAAACCGUAUAAGGUGCUCUACAGCACGGAACGAAAGGGAAUCAGGUUGAAAUUCCUGAAGCCAAAUUAGAUUCGUGGUAACACAACCUAGCUUGAAAACGUCAGCUCGUGCUCCUGGAAGAGUUUUCUUUUCUUCUUAACACGCAACCGACCUUGAAAUUAGAUUAUCUAGAGAUAAGGCUGCAAGCGUGGCAGAGCAUCCUGCUUUUACGGGAUGUCAGGUGCGCUCGAGAUGACCCUUGAAAAUUCAAGUCAGAAAUAUCUAAUCUGGUCCGUACCCAUAACCGCAUCAGGUUCCCAAGGU